GCAUAACGCGAAGAACCUUACCAGGUCUUGACAUCCCUCUGACCGAUCCUUAACCGGAUCUUUCCUUCGGGACAGAGGAGACAGGUGGUGCAUGGUUGUCGUCAGCUCGUGUCGUGAGAUGUUGGGUUAAGUCCCGCAACGAGCGCAACCCCUAUCCUUAGUAGCCAGCAGUUCGGCUGGGCACUCUAGGGAGACUGCCAGGGAUAACCUGGAGGAAGGCGGGGAUGACGUCAAAUCAUCAUGCCCCUUAUGAUCUGGGCUACACACGUGCUACAAUGGUGACUACAAAGGGAAGCAGCCUCGUGAGAGUGAGCAAAUCCCAAAAAGGUCAUCCCAGUUCGGAUUGUAGUCUGCAACUCGACUACAUGAAGCUGGAAUCGCUAGUAAUCGCGAAUCAGAAUGUCGCGGUGAAUACGUUCCCGGGUC
rnacentral:rRNA from 1 species